GGGGAGAUGAGGGUGGGGAAGACACUUGAGGACGUGAGGAGUAUUUUUAGGUGCUGAAUGCAGCCCUGAAAUAUUUCCACGGCCACUCCCGAGAGCGAGCUGGGUGACUAUUUCGGUGCCUGGUUCCAGUGGAGGCGGGGCAGGGGUGAGUCACUCACUGCCCAGUGGCCGCAGAGGCCAGGCCCAGGCUGGGAGGCGGCUCGAAGGGCAGGAUCGCAGGCCUGCAAGGUGAACGGUCACUGGCCUGGGGCCAGGCUUCCUAAGCCAGCCUCCAGGGCACAGAGGACAGCGGCCUUUCUAUUCCCCAUGGCACUGGCCAAUCCAGAGGGGCCACUGCCUGGGUGCCCUGGGACAAUGAGCUGCUCACGCCAACCCCAUAGUUGUAAAGAUGGAGGGUCCCCCGUGAGGUUCUGGACACCCCACAGGUGCUAGGCGAGAUGCCAUCUUAGAUUAUUUCAAGCAUUUAUUGAGCACUUGCUGUAUACCAGGCCAGUCCUAAAAUGAUUACUGGCAUCCUCCCUUCAUGCAAUCUGCCCAAUAACCCCCAUGAGGUAGAGCUGCUGUUAUCCCCCCGACCAGGGAGGAAACUGAGGCACGGUAGGGUUAAGCCCUCCAGGCACCUAACUAUGUGCCUCAAAUCCUGUCCCUCAGCUGAUGUUACAAUCAGGGGAGUGAGUUUUAAAGCAGCAGCCGAUCUUGCUUACCCCCCACACCCUAUUCCCAACCAAUUUUGGGGUCCUGACUGUGCCUGAGCUGGGAGAAGGUCAAUGGAUCCUUCAGGUUUAAGGAGGCAGUGGAAAGAGGAGGUCACCAUUGCUGUGUGACCUGGGGCAGGUUCCUCACCCUCUCUGUGCCUGAGCAGUGAAUGACGAUGCCACCCUAUGGGUGAGUUCCGGAGCUGCCUGGCACACAUUCAUGAUAGAUAAACAAUGGUUGGCUGAGCAUACUGGCUCAGGCCUGUAAUCCCAGCACUUUGGGAGGCUAAGGUGGGAGGAUCGUUUGAGCCUAGGAGUUUGAGACCAGCCUGGACAACAUGGUGAGACCCCUAUCUGUAAAAAAAAUAAAAAACAAUUAUCGGCUGUUGCUUGGAUUGUGUGCCUGUCCUGAGCCUUCAUUUCUCCAUCUGUGAGGACCCUCGGAGGUGCUGGGUUGGAAGUGGCUUUGGAAACCCACGGGGCUGAGCGGCAAGGCUGAGUGGGAGCUCGGGGAAUCCUCGCCCUCACUCGAAGUCUCCUUGAGAAGAGGCUGAUGCUUGGCCGGGCGAGAUGGCUUACGCCUGUAAUCCCAGCACUUUGGGAGGCCGAGGCGGGCGGAUUGCCCGAGGUCAGGAGUUCGAGACCAGCCUAGCCAACAUGGCGAAAUCCUGUCUCUACUAAAAAAUGCAAAAAUUAGCUGGGCGUGGUGGCGGACGCCUGUAAUCCCAGCUAUUCGGGAGGCUGAGGCAGGAGAAUUGCUUGAACCUGAGAGACAGAGGUUUCAGUAAGUGGAGAUCGCGC
rnacentral:lncRNA from 1 species